rnacentral:rRNA from 1 species
GACGAACCGUGCGAACGUUGUUCGGAAUCACUGGGCUUAAAGGGCGCGUAGGCGGGCUAUCAAGUCCGGGGUGAAAUCCUCCAGCUCAACUGGAGAACUGCCUCGGAUACUGAUGGUCUCGAGGAGGAUAGGGGCACACGGAACUGUGGGUGGAGCGGUGAAAUGCGUUGAUAUCCAUAGGAACUCCGGUGGCGAAAGCGAGCCUCUGGACAGUUACUGACGCUGAUGCACGAAGGCCAGGGGAGCAAACGGG